AGAGUUUGAUUCUGGCUCAGAACGAACGCUGGCGGCGUGGAUAAGACAUGCAAGUCGAACGGGAGAAUUGCUAGCUUGCUAAUAAUUCUCUAGUGGCGCACGGGUGAGUAACACGUGAGUAACCUGCCCCCAAGAGUGGGAUAGCCCCGGGAAACUGGGAUUAAUACCGCAUAAAAUCGCAAGAUUAAAGCAGCAAUGCGCUUGGGGAUGGGCUCGCGUCCUAUUAGCUAGUUGGUGAGGUAACGGCUCACCAAGGCGAUGACGGGUAGCCGGUCUGAGAGGAUGUCCGGCCACACUGGAACUGAGACACGGUCCAGACACCUACGGGUGGCAGCAGUCGAGAAUCAUUCACAAUGGGGGAAACCCUGAUGGUGCGACGCCGCGUGGGGGAAUGAAGGUCUUCGGAUUGUAAACCCCUGUCAUGUGGGAGCAAAUUAAAAAGAUAGUACCACAAGAGGAAGAGACGGCUAACUCUGUGCCAGCAGCCGCGGUAAUACAGAGGUCUCAAGCGUUGUUCGGAAUCACUGGGCGUAAAGCGUGCGUAGGCGGUUUCGUAAGUCGUGUGUGAAAGGCGGGGGCUCAACCCCCGGACUGCACAUGAUACUGCGAGACUAGAGUAAUGGAGGGGGAACCGGAAUUCUCGGUGUAGCAGUGAAAUGCGUAGAUAUCGAGAGGAACACUCGUGGCGAAGGCGGGUUCCUGGACAUUAACUGACGCUGAGGCACGAAGGCCAGGGGAGCGAAAGGGAUUAGAUACCCCUGUAGUCCUGGCAGUAAACGGUGCACGCUUGGUGUGCGGGGAAUCGACCCCCUGCGUGCCGGAGCUAACGCGUUAAGCGUGCCGCCUGGGGAGUACGGUCGCAAGAUUAAAACUCAAAGGAAUUGACGGGGACCCG
rnacentral:rRNA from 1 species